UAUGCAUUUCACACUUUUGAGUGUGUGGAAAAAUAAAAAGUUUACAUCCAUGUGGGUCGGCUCGGCAUUGCCCAUAAAAUCAACAAAACUAAAAUAUAUGAAAAACUGAAAACUAAAAUAAAUUCAAAACAAAACGAAUCUCAAAUAGGAAUUCCUAAAGAGAAUGCCAAAAAAGAUACUUGUAACACACUUGGCCACGGAUGGGCAGAGACCGAGCAAGACCCUGAUCCUGUUCAUCUUUGCGAUGGCCAUUUGCAUGAAGCUUGGCAUCAUUGUGAUGGAGUUGAUGAUCUGAUCUAAGCGAGAUAAUUACCUGCAAAGAAAGAAGAAAAUAGGUUACCAAAUUAGUCACAAUUUCGUUUAAUCUUUACUCUAAUGCAUGCCCCGAUAAAAGACAACAAAGAAGAAGGCAUAAAAGAAAGGAAAUGUCGAAAAGGUGCUGGAAGAAGUAUCGAAAAGGGACUGCGAGAGCUGUGAAAACUGAUCCCAAAGUCAAGUGCAGUUUUGGGUUCGAUGGUAAAUGCAUCUCGGAUUACAUCAAGGGUAAGCAGCAGCUACUUUCCUUUCCCUUCGAGAAAAGGUCUCUCAUUAUUAGCCUACCUUUUGCCUUUUCAACAUUUGACUUUUUCCCAUUUUCCUUGCAGGCAAAACCACGAAACGAUGGAGGGGACAAGGACAAAAACAAGAACGAGGCGAAACCGCAAACAUAAUUUCAUUUUUCCUGCUGUGCAAAACACUGAAAAUAAUUUGACAACUUACUUAAAAAUAUGUCACAUGAAGAAGGUCCAGGACAUGGCCCCACACAAGCGGAAGGAAAAAAGGGUUUGCCCCGCUCUCGCUUUGCUGCAAAAUCAAAAUGAAAAUCCAGCAACGUGAACUUUUUGUAUUUUGUAUUAAAAGCUGUCAAGCGCAACAAAAAAA
rnacentral:lncRNA from 1 species